GUUGUAUAGUCAAGUAAUUAAGUGCAUGUGGUGGAUGCCUUGGCAGUCAGAGGCGAUGAAAGACGUGAUAGCCUGCGAAAAGCUCCGGGGAGGCGGCAAAUAUCCUUUGAUCCGGAGAUGUCUGAAUGGGGGAACCCACCUACUUUAAGGUAGGUAUUGCAACAUGAAUACAUAGUGUUGCAAGGCGAACGAGGGGAAGUGAAACAUCUCAGUACCCUUAGGAAAAGAAAUCAAUUGAGAUUCCCUCAGUAGCGGCGAGCGAACGGGGAUCAGCCCAUUAAGUUAUGUGUGUUUUAGUGGAACGCUCUGGGAAGUGCGAACGUAGAGGGUGAUAUUCCCGUACACGAAAGGGCACACAUAAUGAUGACGAGUAGGGCGAGGCACGUGAAACCUUGUCUGAAUAUGGGGGGACCAUCCUCCAAGGCUAAAUACUCCUGACUGACCGAUAGUGAACCAGUACCGUGAGGGAAAGGCGAAAAGAACCCCUGUGAGGGGAGUGAAAUAGAUCCUGAAACCGCAUGCAUACAAGCAGUGGGAGCACCUUCGUGGUGUGACUGCGUACCUUUUGUAUAAUGGGUCAGCGACUUAUAUUCAGUAGCGAGGUUAACCGUAUAGGGGAGCCGUAGAGAAAUCGAGUCUUAAUAGGGCGUUUAGUUGCUGGGUAUAGACCCGAAACCAGGCGAUCUAUCCAUGAGCAGGUUGAAGGUUGGGUAACACUAACUGGAGGACCGAACCCACUGUCGUUGAAAAGCCAGGGGAUGACUUGUGGAUAGGGGUGAAAGGCUAAUCAAGCCUGGUGAUAGCUGGUUCUCCCCGAAAGCUAUUUAGGUAGCGCCUCGGACGAAUACCAUAGGGGGUAGAGCACUGUUUCGGCUAGGGGGUCAUCCCGACUUACCAAACCGAUGCAAACUCCGAAUACCUAUGAGUACUAUCCGGGAGACAGACUGCGGGUGCUAACUCCGUAGUCAAGAGGAAAACAAUCCAGACCGCCAGCUAAGGCCCCAAAAUCAUAGUUAAGUGGGAAACGAUGUGGGAAGGCAUAGACAGCUAGGAGGUUGGCUUAGAAGCAGCCACCCUUUAAAGAAAGCGUAAUAGCUCACUAGUCGAGUCGGCCUGCGCGGAAGAUGUAACGGGGCUAAAACUAUGUGCCGAAGCUGCGGAUGUAUACUUUGUAUACGUGGUAGGGGAGCGUUCUGUAAGCCGAUGAAGGUGUGUUGAGAAGCAUGCUGGAGGUAUCAGAAGUGCGAAUGCUGACGUGAGUAACGACAAAACGGGUGAAAAACCCGUUCGCCGAAAGACCAAGGGUUCCAGUCCAACGUUAAUCGGGGCUGGGUGAGUCGACCCCUAAGGCGAGGCCGAAAGGCGUAGUCGAUGGGAAAAUGGUUAAUAUUCCAUUACUUCUGUGUAAUGCGAUGAGAGGACGGAGAAGGCUAAAUCAGCCUGGCGUUGGUUGUCCAGGUGAAAGGAUGUAGGCAUGUAUCUUAGGCAAAUCCGGGGUACUCUAUGCUGAGAUCUGAUAGCAAGCUGUACUUGUACAGCGAAGUGGUUGAUGCCAUGCUUCCAGGAAAAGUCUCUAAGCUUCAGUUACACAGGAAUCGUACCCGAAACCGACACAGGUGGUCAGGUCGAGUAGACCAAGGCGCUUGAGAGAACUCUGCUGAAGGAACUAGGCAAAAUGGUACCGUAACUUCGGGAGAAGGUACGCUGUUGUUGGUGAUGGAACUCGCUUCCUGAGCUGACGACAGCCGCAGAAACCAGGCCGCUGCAACUGUUUAUUAAAAACAUAGCACUCUGCAAACACGAAAGUGGACGUAUAGGGUGUGAUGCCUGCCCGGUGCUGGAAGGUUAAUUGAUGGGGUUAGCGUAAGCGAAGCUCUUGAUCGAAGCCCCAGUAAACGGCGGCCGUAACUAUAACGGUCCUAAGGUAGCGAAAUUCCUUGUCGGGUAAGUUCCGACCUGCACGAAUGGCAUAAUGAUGGCGGCGCUGUCUCCAGCAGAGGCUCAGUGAAAUCGAAAUCGCUGUGAAGAUGCAGUGUACCCGCGGCUAGACGGAAAGACCCCGUGAACCUUUACUGCAGCUUGACACUGAACUUUGACCUUACUUGUGUAGGAUAGGUGGGAGGCUUUGAAGCUGGAACGCUAGUUCCAGUGGAGCCGUCCUUGAAAUACCACCCUGGUAAUGUUGAGGUUCUAACUCUGUCCCGUGAUCCGGGACGAGGACCGUGUCUGGUGGGUAGUUUGACUGGGGCGGUCUCCUCCUAAAGAGUAACGGAGGAGUACGAAGGUGCGCUCAGCGUGGUCGGAAAUCACGCGUAGAGUAUAAAGGCAAAAGCGCGCUUAACUGCGAGACCCACAAGUCGAGCAGGUACGAAAGUAGGUCUUAGUGAUCCGGUGGUUCUGUAUGGAAGGGCCAUCGCUCAACGGAUAAAAGGUACUCUGGGGAUAACAGGCUGAUACCGCCCAAGAGUUCAUAUCGACGGCGGUGUUUGGCACCUCGAUGUCGGCUCAUCUCAUCCUGGGGCUGAAGCAGGUCCCAAGGGUAUGGCUGUUCGCCAUUUAAAGAGGUACGCGAGCUGGGUUUAGAACGUCGUGAGACAGUUCGGUCCCUAUCUACCGUGGGCGCUGGAAAUUUGAGAGGAUCUGCUCCUAGUACGAGAGGACCAGAGUGGACGAACCUCUGGUGUACCGGUUGUGACGCCAGUCGCAUCGCCGGGUAGCUAUGUUCGGAAGGGAUAACCGCUGAAAGCAUCUAAGCGGGAAGCCUACCUCAAGAUAAGAUUUCCCUAGGACUUUAUGUCCUCUAAAGAGCCGUUCGAGACUAGGACGUUGAUAGGUUGGAUGUGGAAGCAUAGUGAUAUGUGAAGCUGACCAAUACUAAUUGCUCGUGAGGCUUGACUAUACAACACCCAAGCAGUUG
rnacentral:rRNA from 1 species